ACGAACGCUGGCGGCGUGCUUAACACAUGCAAGUCGAACGGAAAGGCCCUGCUUUUGUGGGGUGCUCGAGUGGCGAACGGGUGAGUAACACGUGAGUAACCUGCCCUUGACUUUGGGAUAACUUCAGGAAACUGGGGCUAAUACCGGAUAGGAGCUCCUGCUGCAUGUUGGGGGUUGGAAAGUUUCGGCGGUUGGGGAUGGACUCGCGGCUUAUCAGCUUGUUGGUGGGGUAGUGGCUUACCAAGGCUUUGACGGGUAGCCGGCCUGAGAGGGUGACCGGCCAAAUUGGGACUGAGAUACGGCCCAGACUCCUACGGGAGGCAGCAGUGGGGAAUAUUGCACAAUGGGCGGAAGCCUGAUGCAGCAACGCCGCGUGCGGGAUGACGGCCUUCGGGUUGUAAACCGCUUUCGCCUGUGACGAAGCGUGAGUGACGGUAAUGGGUAAAGAAGCACCGGCUAAAUACGUG
rnacentral:rRNA from 1 species